UACAGAGGUGGCAAGCGUUGUUCGGAAUUACUGGGCGUAAAGGGCGCGUAGGCGGCCUUCUAAGUCAGACGUGAAAUCCCCCGGCUUAACCUGGGAACUGCGUCUGAUACUGGGAGGCUAGAGUAUGGGAGAGGGAUGCAGAAUUCCAGGUGUAGCGGUGAAAUGCGUAGAUAUCGGGAGGAACACCAGUGGCGAAGGCGGCUUCCUGGCCUGUUCUUGACGCUGAGGCGCGAAAGCUAGGGGAGCAAACGGG
rnacentral:rRNA from 1 species